UUACAAAGCGACACUAGAUAACGGUAGGUCGAUUAUUGGUCCUUUGGGUUCAAUAAUCUUUUAAAACUACGCGACACAACUGUAUACUUGCAGUUAAGUUGAUAAACACGCGAUCACUUCACCUUCACCAAACCACCUUCAAGAAUCACGAAAUUCAUACCCACCACAUCACCAAUUCCAUUUAACUUUCUCAUCUUCUUAACAUUCAUCACAAAAAUUUCAAUUUUUCACCAAUUUUAG
rnacentral:lncRNA from 1 species